rnacentral:rRNA from 1 species
CAGUAGCCGCGGGAAUACGUAGGUGGCAAGCGUUGUCCGGAAUUAUUGGGCGUAAAGGGCUCGCAGGCGGUUUCUUAAGUCUGAUGUGAAAGCCCCCGGCUCAACCGGGGAGGGUCAUUGGAAACUGGGAAACUCGAGUGCAGAAGAGGAGAGUGGAAUUCCACGUGUAGCGGUGAAAUGCGUAGAGAUGUGGAGGAACACCAGUGGCGAAGGCGGCUUACUGGCUCGAAACUGACGCUGAGGCGCGAAAGCGUGGGGAGCAAACAGGAUUAGAGACCCCCGUAGUCCCUGUCUCUUAUAC